rnacentral:lncRNA from 1 species
GAAUUUCCCAUUUUACAAGAAGCCCUAAUUCCAAAAAUCUCAGGAUACUUCAAAGCCAGAUGCCCAGAUGGUAGUUAACAGUUAGACGAGUCAGAAUCUCCCGACCCACCACCAACAGGAUCCACGGGUCGUUUUUUAGUGCUGUUGUUGUGUUAGGGUUUCGUGUUUAUUUCGGUUUCGAUGUAUGUUUGUUUUGAUACUUGGAGUGUCGGUGUUGCUCUCUGCUGUUUUCUAGUUGCCGCCAUUUUUAGUGAUCGAGAUCACGAGGAUCUGGAUCUGGAUUCACAUUUUAAAGACAAAAAAAAUAUAUGACGACGGGCUAAUAGGUUGCCCCAUUUACCCGUUUUGGGCAUUGUACCACCAAACCGGCGUCAUUAAAUGAGGAUACAAUUCCACCGUUGGGGCUCAGACACGUGUCUGAGUCUCCCAAAGACCGAUAGAAUCCGUUAGAUCAUCUUGGUAUGAUCCCAUUGGAGAGAUAAGGGUUUCCGGCUAUAUAAGGAAGGUAAAGAAUGAUCUUAAAGGCAAGUCCAAGCAAACGAAGGCUGGGAUAUUCCGACGUCAGCGAAGACCCUUUGAACGUCAUCAGGGAUAAGGGGAUUCGACAAUAUAUAUGUUGAAUAAUAAAGAAGUUUGGUCUAAUUUUAGGCUUUGGUCCGUUAUCUAGUAAACCCGUAGCCUCACUAUAUGAUUUGUAUUUCUUUUUCAUUGUUAUUUAUGUUUUUCUAAUGUAAUGUAAUAAACUUAGGGUUGUUUCUACGCUUUUGGUGGCCCUAUGCCAAAUCCAAAUUGGGGGCCCUUUAAAUUUGAAUUUGUAUAAUUUCACGAAGAAUAAAAAAACCUUCAGCUAAGAAUAUAAAACCAGAUUACA